rnacentral:rRNA from 1 species
UACGUAGGGUGCAAGCGUUGUCCGGAAUUAUUGGGCGUAAAGAGCUCGUAGGCGGUCUGUCGCGUCGGCUGUGAAAUCCCGAGGCUCAACCUCGGGUCUGCAGUCGAUACGGGCAAACUAGAGUAUUGCAGGGGAGACUGGAAUUCCUGGUGUAGCGGUGAAAUGCGCAGAUAUCAGGAGGAACACCAGCGGCGAAGGCGGCACUCUGGGCUGGUACUGACGCUGAGGAGCGAAAGCGUGGGUAGCAAACAGG